UACAGGAAUUAAACAUUUUUAUUUUAACAUAUUCAGCUCUAUCAAGUCAAAAAGGUAACAAAAUGAGAUAUUCUGAUUGCAGUGAACAUUGUCAGAAUCACAAAAUAAAAAAACAAAAAAACACUGUACUUAAACAGGGUAAGUAUAUAUAAAAAUUGCAUUGCUAGUGCAAAUCUUUACCUCUAGAAUUGAAUGGUCCCCUCCCUACACUACUAUCUUUAAUGAGACCACAAGCAGUUCUAGGUUUAAAGUACACAAAUUGCAGCAGGGGUAACCAAUCUGAAUGUGUCAAGCCUUUACAACUACAAGUGCUUUAAUGCGGACCAUGGAAAUCAUAGUUUAAUAAAAGCUAGACAGCUACAGACUGGCUACGCCUGACCUUUACCUUUCUAGGGCAGCAUUUAAUACCGAAACAGCACAAAUGAUGACAUUUUGCUAGUGUUCAGGAGCAAGCCAACUUAGCUGUAGAAUACAGUAAAAGCACCACAAUUAUUUUCAUUCUUUUAUGCGCCCAUACUAAAAGUGAAACCUUUAACACCUUUUACUAGCUUAGUAAGGCAGUUGUGUGUGAGAAUAGGAAGAAAGAAAGAAAAAAGGAAACUGGAAGAAUUAUAUGCAAGGUAAAGUAACAAAUGUAUCACAAAGUGUUUUUUCUAAUAUUCUCAAUGACCAUGUUAGUAAAGUUGUUAUACAUUCUGUGUGGCAGGUGAAUGUGUUAUAUAACGUAACAUACAUAUUCACUAUGAUUAUCUUAGACUACAGCAGCACCUCAACAGAAACUAUAUUCUGUAGAUAUAUGGCUUGCUCCAAAAAAGCUUUAAUUUCACCUCUUACCUUUUAAAUCUAUUUUGAUUGUAUAAGAAGUGUUUAUUUUUCUGAUCAGCUAGAAAGAAAAAGCUCAGAAUAGAAUAAGCAAUAUAAAUCAAGAAACCUUCGCAAAACAGUUACACAGUAUUAAAAAGAUAAGACUGCCUUUACAGUGUUUAAUCAAGGCUUAAUCCAGGUGGAACACCCCAAAAUAGACUGAGAACAAGGAAUCAAUGGCAUUUUAAGCCAAGAAUUACUAUGAAGGCAUACGGUGGGUCAGAUUUUAGUCCUUGAUCAUGGUGAUAAUAUUAGGGACAUAUCUUUGAAAGUUUUGCAGUCAAAGGCUCAUAUUAGUUUCCAUAAAUGCUGCCCUAUUAAAAUGAUUGUGACUUGAUUUUACCAGCAAAGUAAAUAAAAGAGCAUAUGUAGAUCGUACAUUUACAAUUCCAAGAGACUGCUUCCAUCGGUUACUUAGUGCAAAUCUCAAGACGAAGUCUCAAAUAAAUUCUGGCUGUUGAAGAGUUAGGUAUUAGCAAACAGUGCUGCAGUGUUGUAGGACCAGUUUGGAGUAAAGUUGUGAAAGAACAAUCCUUACAUCCGAUGUUGACAGUUAUUUGCACAAUUUAGACAGCAGGUAAGACCAAUUUUUAAAAUCCAGCUUGAUUUUGAGAGCCAGGGAAGGGCUAGAAGCACAGACAUCUGUAUAAUGCAGUGAGGAAAGUAUGGUGCCAGCGGUAAUAUUUCCCCCUACCUAUUUACCAAAGUUUGUUAAGCCCUGCUUUAGAUUACAUGUUUCUAAAACCUGACCCUAAAUAUCACUAACUGUUUAGGAAUGUUUGUAUACCAUAGAUUAGCCAUUUGUAUAUGUUCUACAUGACUCUGUCCUGCAUUGCUGACCAGCAGUAAUGCAUAAUAGACCAUUCUGGAUAAAUUUAUCGAGAUGGCUUAUGAUCCUAUAUUAUCAGUUAUCUGAUAAGUGUUCCGUUUUAUGACUGGUGGAUAAAUUGAUUUCCUUGCAAGUGAUGUAGACAGAGUGUACACUACAUUCAUUCAACUAGUGUUACUUAAGGGCAGGUUUUUGUUAUUCCACAAAGUGGUCUAAUACGACAUGUAUUUGCAGUUACAGUUCUCAAACCAGGGGCUGAAUAAUAUGCCCAAAGAUACAUAUAUCAAAAGGUACUGGAUGGAAAUGUUCCCGUUGUACAUAAACAAUGACCUUGUUUAGUGAACCUCUAGUCAUGACUUCCAGCUCCCAAUUACUUAACCAACAAAUACACAGACAGUACAAUUUACAGACAUGAUGGUGCCAGGACUGGAUAUAUCUGUGAACAUUACGAUACCCAAAGAUAAAGGAAACAACCACAUUUACAGAGUUCAUUCUACCAAAAACACAUACAGCUGCCUUGAGCAAAAAAAUGGUACACUUCUAAAUGAAAGGCUAAUCUUCUUCUUGUAAUGUAGUCAAUUCCACAAUGUAGUUCAUAAUGGUAACUACACAUUUCAGAUGAGUUAAUAGAAAGAAAAAUAAAUUCUUUAAUACCAUGAGAUAUGUAAAACAUAUCAUGCAUUGGUCAGAAGCUAGUUAAAGGAUGGCCUGUAUUAUGAUUGAGAACGACAAACAGAACAGGAGUCAGUAUGAGGUAUACUAAACCAUACUAUUACUUAGAGAAUACAAGAGUUAUAUUGAAUGAUAUGAACCAUUACGUACACUGUAGAUCCUAGUUUAGUUUGGAGUUUAAUUCUUCCUUUAAAAUGAACAAAGACAAAGCCCUUAAGCUAUUGAUAGAACACAAAAACUGGAACAGCUAUUGAUACAUUUCCCAUAACUAUUUUAAAAUAUAAAGGGCAAAAGGUUCUGAUAGGUGCAUACUUUGAAAUGCUUGUCCGUUUUACUUGAAAAAGUGUCAAUAUAAUAAAGUGCUAUUUUUGUUACUGAAAUCUAAAACAAACACCAGAGGAGGAUAAUAAAAAUCAAAACAAAACUUAGUUGAAUUGCUGGCAAUAGCAAAAUAAAUUGGUUAUUAAAUGACUCUCGUGCAGUUUAUAUACUUUAUGUUCACAUACACUUACUCAAGGAGUUAUCAGAGACCAAUUAAUGUAGGAUUACAGAUCAACAAUAUGUUCUGAUGCAUAUGUUAAUUCCUUUGAGUGCUGGAAAGUAGGACUAAACAUUGCUGACCCUUCCAGAGACUACAUUUUUAUAGAGAACUGUGUGAAUCUGCUCACAUGCUCUUAUAGUUCCCAGACACCUUGGGUCAGCCACAGUGCUAUAUAUUUCCCAUGAUGCUCAAGUACUAGUUUGGAGUACAAUCUAGUUCUGGUGUAAGACAUCUUCCGAGAGACUGAUUAGUUUACAAGAGGUGUUCCUACAAAUAAAUACUAGUCUUUUCUUGUGGCUAAAUAAAUGAAGACGUGCUACCAUUCAAACUCAGAAAUCAGUAAAUUUCUAUUCCACAACUGACAAACAAGGGAGAACAACAACUAAGACAAUGUUAAAAAGCUUACAUUUUUUUUUCAUUUUACUGAACACAUUUUGCUAUUUAACUACAUGGUAGUGUUACAAUGUAACUGAUAAGUGCUUGGAAGAAAAACAAAAAACAAAAAAAACCUAAAAAUCAGAAUUAGCCACGAUUGCUUUCUACUGAGCACAGAAACUAGAUUUGAUUUCAGUUAAGCUAAAAAUGCUUUGGUACACAGCUGUUAUAUUAUACCUGAGUAUUAAAAAAGUAUGGAACACGACAGGGGGUGGAGAAAUAAUAUGAAAAGUAAAAAAGCUUAAACAGACACUCCAACAUCAUAAUCCCCCCCCUCCUUCCUGCAAGUAGUCAUAUCAUUUUAGAACGAUUUGACGGCUCAGCUGGGGUAUGCCAGGCGCCUCACCCCAGAUGCUCUGAGCCAAGGCUUGCAGAACAGGGUUUAGUUUAGGACAGCCAACAGAAGCUCCUGCUUCGGAUCUUCUAGCUCUUUGUCGGAAGAAAUGGAAUCUGGGUGUGUUGUCUUGCAGAUCCCAGGGAAAAGAAAAUAUAUGUUUUACAGCUUACUACAGGGAGAGCCAAGGCACUGCUAGCACUACCACCACUAUUGUGUGCAGGUAGUGGUUAUGGUACUUUGGAGUUUUCCUCAUGAUGAAACAAACAUUCAAAACAUAGAGAAGAUCGUAAAUGGAAUUAAGAAAUGCUUAAAGUUUAGCAUACUUCAGGUAGUCGACUAAUAGAAAAAAAAAAACCACACCACAUCCCAUUUAGUUUAUAUAGUGCAUACUAAAGAUGUACAGCAUGCAAUAAAGGAUCACCAUUAAAAAAAAAAAUCGCAGGCUAUCGCCAAACAAAAAAACAGAAUAAUUAGGACCACAGAAUUUUGAAAUUUAGGCAAAAAUAUCCAAAAAUCGGAAAAAUUAUCCAAUGUAACUGUUUUUCCAGCUUGGCUAAUGUGGCCUAAAUUUUGAAAUUCACCUGUCAUAACCCUGUUUCCAAUUACAAUACAAAAUCAGGAUAACACAAACUCUGCCCCUUAGGUGGCACUGGAUCACAUUACCAAUACCCAGCAGCAGUACAUUAGAUGAGCCAAGCUAAAAUAGUAGGACACCAGUUUAUUCCACCACAGUGCAUUUUUAAGUAUGUUCUCCUGAAUACAAAACAUGCUUCAGGCCAGAAUUUAGACAAUAGGUAGGAGGAGGAUUUAUUAAACAUUAUUAGCAAAGCUGUUUUGUUCUCUAUGCAAGUCUUAAAGGAAGAAAACAACUUACAUAUCCAACAAUUCCUUCACCAAUAAAACCAACAUAUUGGCUACAGUUUCACCAAUUACACAUUAAAGGUAGAAAGCGUAACCUGCAAGCUCCAAAUCUCCUGUAUCAAGUUUGUUUGUAGGCCAGUCUCAGGCAAAGCAUAACACUGAAAACAAUGUAAGUAAGAAAAAGAAGGGGGGAGGACUUUGCAUUUAAGGAUAUGGUUUAUGAUUAAAAUUCAUUAUUGCUUUGCUAAAUAGAAGCAAAACAGAUUUUAUGAAAAAAAGGGCAACGGCAUGAAAAUCAGCAAGCUACAAGAAGGGCAAAUUAACACAAAGAUAUUAAUACAAAACAAAAAAUAUCUCCAAUAAAAACAAACAAAAAAACAAACAAUAAAGUGCUCUUUUGAAGGAAACACACAAGGCUUCAAUGACGAAAUCAGAAAGAAAAAAACAACAAAAUACACAUAGAAAACAAAUACCUAAUAUAUUUAUGCAAUGUAUAUCUUUCUUGCAUGGUGCUAGAAAGUAAUAUUUUAAAUAAUUUCAUACUUUCCAGUUGAAAACCUACUGUGACAAAAACUAAAGUCCCAUAUAAAUGUUUCAAUAUAAGCAACGUCGACUGCUAUUUACACAAUAAACUGUAAACAGUAAUGUGCGGGUAUUGGGUAUACUAUGUCAUUGCCCUUGUCCUGGUUACCCAUGAUAAAUCAGUGUUUAUAUGACUUCUCUUGAGACUGAGAAAGAAAAAAGAAAGAAAAUAAAAA